rnacentral:lncRNA from 1 species
AGCAGGCUGUGCUCCCCCCACCCCACCCCUGCCCCCAGGACUCCGGUGGCCUGGGGGCUUCUUCUCAGCCCGGGGCCCACUCCCCUCCCGGCCAGGCCCUCCCUCUUUCCUCCCCACGCUCCAGCCACCGCCUGGCCCAGAGUGGUGGUCAUGUUCAGUUCCCAAAGGCUCCUCCUCCAUCCUGGCUCCAGCCAUCUGCCAGCUCAAGGGUGUGGUGGACCCAGGGGUCAAGAUGGUCCUCCAGCUGGGAGAGGGGGAGGGGAGGGGAGGCCCCUCCCCCUUCCCCACCACCACUCAGCUCGCCUCCCGGGGAGCCCCGCCUCUUCACCUGUCCUUCCUCGUGGGUCUCAUGCUGUUGAGGGAGCACAGGUGAGCUGCACUGGGCAGCCAUGUCCUGGGGCUGUGGGCGGAACAGGUGCUCAGAGGUGCAAACAGGUGAUGGGAGGUGCUGCCUCUGCAGGACCUGGUGGCAGGCCAGGUGGUGCCACUAGUGCACCCAUGACCUCAGGGACCCCGGACUCGUGGGGCCUCGUUUCCUCACCUGGGUGUGCCGAGCCCCCCCACACACACUGGCCACAGGGUCAGGUGGGGUCACACCCGCAUAAUUCUCAGGGGAGGACACUCGGGUCCCUCCUGAAUCGGACGGAAUCCCUGCUGCCUCCUGGAGCUCUUCCCCCGGUGCCAAGGGGGCUGCCUGGGAGUCCGAAGCAAGCCCCCCACCCUUGUGUUCUUGCCCUGGGCGCCUGGCCCAGACCACCGGCCUCCACCCACAGCUGCUAUCCCCUGAUGCUGCUAAUAAGCAGGUGUCUGCCCAGGUCCAGCGGGUGGGAGUGCCCCCUCCCCAUCUCCUGGUCACCAGGGCCCAGGCCUUGCAUCUCUAGAGGACACAGUGACCCCUGCAGAGCAGAGGACUCCUCCUGGGUCUGGGCCACUUGGCCCUGGCAUGGAAGUGCCUCCCUGCCCUGCAAGCGCCAGCCCCGGCCAGCAGACCCCAGCUGGGGUCCCAGGCCCAGCAGGUUGGGCUCAAGCGCGGCCAGGGCAGCAGCAGAGGCAGAGGAGCCCCUCGAGCCACAUCUGGGGUCUGGGAUCUGUAGCGGAGGUUGUCCUGAGUCCCAGAUUCCGAGUCUAGUCGGCGGCCCAGGGGGGCUGAGAGCCUGCAUUUCUCACUGCUCCAGGGCCAUGCGACGCCGCUGCCCCGCCCGCCCCACUCGGGGCCCUGCUGUGUGUGGCCACAUGCGACCAGGCGCGACCCCAGCGAGGCCCCCCAUCCCAGGGAUGCACCAACCCCCAACUCCCCAACGUCCCCAGGGAAGGAAGGCCACGGGGGCGGGAGGGGAGUUAUACCCCACCCAGAGGCGGCUAAACCCAAGGUCCCCGGCGGGUGUUGGACUGUGCGGCGUAUUACGUAAUCUUUGUUGCCAGGAAAUUUACCUUCCUAAUUACAUUUUGCAAAUUUUCAUUUGAGUGUGGCUUCCCAGAGCUCUGGGAAAAUAGGAGAAGGGCAGGUGGGAGGGAGGGGGGUGCCAGGACCCUGGGCCACCGGGCGCAGACCCAGGGCUGCACCCAGGGAUGG